AUAAAUGACGCAUGGUGACCUGUGCUCUUGCCAAGAUCCCUUCACUUUUAAGAGCUUAUCUUUCUCGAGAGAAGGGGAGAGGGAUGGUCUCCGGUAUGGGGGCUCCCUGCUUCCCCUUUAGCAGCCUUCCAUGUGCCCUUCCUGACCAUGCCUUUCACUUCUUUUUCCAUUCUUUGUUUGCUUUUAGUUGGUGACAAAGAGUAGCUGGCAUCCAUGAGAGAGGAGCCCAUACCCUCUUUUCACCUUCUGUCCACGUUUUCCUUGAAGAAGCAAGGUAUUGAAGCAUGGAGAGCACUUGACAUCCAUCAAACGAGUUCCUUCUACGAGCUAGUUUCCUUCCAAGCCACCAGCAGCCAGUGAGGUGAUCACUGGCACAUGACCGAUGGACGGCACAUUGUCAUUAGGAUCUAAUCCCUUUCAAGGCUUGCCAUGGGCCAAUUGUAGCCACAGUCAUGAAGACUAGGAGCGAGAGUGAGAGAGGAUAAUCCAUCUAUAUUUGUUUUGGAAAUUUAUUUUGUCUAGAUAAAUUACAUAUCUUGAAUUCUAUAUUGAUAGACAUGAUGCAUUUCAUAUAUUCAUGGCAUAUUGUUUAUUUAUGGGAAAUCAUGCAAACUGAAGAUUUUUACUUCUUGUACAAUAUAUUUGAUCCAACAAGAGGUUUUGGUAACUUA